rnacentral:rRNA from 1 species
CUCCUACGGGAGGCAGCAGUGGGGAAUAUUGCACAAUGGGGGGAACCCCUGAUGCAGCGAUGCCGCGUGGAGGAAGAAGGUUUUCGGAUUGUAAACUCCUUUUAACAGGGACGAUAAUGACGGUACCUGAAGAGAAAGCUCCGGCUAACUACGUGCCAGCAGCCGCGGUAAUACGUAGGGAGCGAGCGUUGUCCGGAAUUACUGGGUGUAAAGGGAGCGUAGGCGGGACGGUAAGUCAGGUGUGAAAUAUACGUGCUCAACAUGUAGACUGCACUUGAAACUGCUGUUCUUGAGUGAAGUAGAGGUAAGCGGAAUUCCUAGUGUAGCGGUGAAAUGCGUAGAUAUUAGGAGGAACAUCGGUGGCGAAGGCGGCUUACUGGGCUUUUACUGACGCUGAGGCUCGAAAGCGUGGGGAGCAAACAGGAUUAGAUACCCUGGUAGUCCACGCUGUAAACGAUGAUUACUAGGUGUGGGGGGACUGACCCCUUCCGUGCCGCAGUUAACACAAUAAGUAAUCCACCUGGGGAGUACGACCGCAAGGUUGAAACUCAAAGGAAUUGACGGGGGCCCGCACAAGCAGUGGAGUAUGUGGUUUAAUUCGAAGCAACGCGAAGAACCUUACCAGGUCUUGACAUCGUAUGCAUAGUCUAGAGAUAGAUGAAAUCCCUUCGGGGACAUAUAGACAGGUGGUGCAUGGUUGUCGUCAGCUCGUGUCGUGAGAUGUUGGGUUAAGUCCCGCAACGAGCGCAACCCUUACCUUUAGUUGCUACGCAAGAGCACUCUAGAGGGACUGCCGUUGACAAAACGGAGGAAGGUGGGGAUGACGUCAAAUCAUCAUGCCCCUUAUGACCUGGGCUACACACGUACUACAAUGGCAAUUAACAGAGGGAAGCAAAACAGCGAUGUGGAGCAAAUCCCGAAAAAUUGUCUCAGUUCAGAUUGCAGGCUGCAACUCGCCUGCAUGAAGUCGGAAUUGCUAGUAAUCGCAGAUCAGAAUGCUGCGGUGAAUACGUUCCCGGGCCUUGUACACACCGC